AGUUCGAUUCCCAACGACGGCACUGGCGGAUGCUUUACAUGCAAGUCGAACGGCAGCACGGACUUCGGUCCAUGGUGGCGAGUGGCGAACGGGUGAGUAAUGUAUCGAACGUGCCUAGUAGCGGGGGGAUAACUACGCGAAAGGGUAGCCAAUAUCGCAUGCCCUUCUGGGAAAGCGGGGUGGUGUCUCGGGCCUCGCACUAUUAGUAUCGGCCGAUACUGACAUUAGCUAGUUGGUGGGGUAACGGCCUCACCAAGGCGACGAUCCGUAGCUGGUUUGAGAGGACGACCAGCCAUCAUUCAAGACUGAGACGACCCAGACUCCUACGGAGGCAGCAGUGGGGAAUUCGUAUGGCGGGCAGGAAACCCUGAUCCAGCCAUCCGCGUGUGCGAUGGAAGGCCUUCGGUUGUGUUAACUGGCAGAAGAAACGGCAUGGGACACACCCCGGGGCAACUGACGUACCUGCAGAAUAAGCACCGGCUGGAACACGUUGCGCAGCCGCGGUAAUACGUAGGGUGCAAGCGUAUGACCGGAAUUAUCAGCACGUAAAGCGUGCGCAGGCGGUUCGAAGAUGAAUCCAGAGCUUAACUUUGAACUGUUAUUCUUAACUACCGAGCUAGAGUGUGCCAGAGGGAGGUGGAGACUCACAGCGCAGUGAAUGUAGAUAUGCGGAGGAAACACCGAUGGCGAAGUGUUCUGGGAUAACACUGAGACGCUCAUGCACGAAAGCGUGGGGAGCAACAGGAUUAGAUAAUUCUGGUAGUCCACGCCUCAAACGAUGUCAACUAGCGUUGGGGCCUUCUGGGGCCUUUGGCAGUUUUUGCGUCAACGUGAAGUUGACCGCCUGGGGAGUGCUGGCUCGCAAAGAUUAAAACUCAAAGGAAUUGACGGGGACCCGCACAAGCGGUGGAUGAUGUGGAUUAAUUCGAUGCAACGCGAAAAAACCUUACCGCAAUCCUUGAUAUGUCUGGAAUCCCGAAGAGAUUUGGGAGUGCUCGCAAGAGAACCGAACAGGCGCUGCUGCAUGGCUGUCGUCACGUGUCGUGGUGAGAUGUUGGGUUAAGUCCCGCAACGAGCGCAACCCUUGUCAUUAGUUGCUACGAAAGGGCACUCUAUCGAGACUGCCGGGUGACAAACCAGUGAAGGUGGGGAUGACGUCGUUUCUCCUCAUGGCCCUUAUGGGUAGGGCUUCGACGUCAUAAAUGGUCGGGACAGAGGGUCGCCGUCCGGCGAGGGGGAGCCAACUUGCGAAACCCGGAUCGUAGUCCGGAUCGCAGUCUGCAACUCGACUGCGUGAAGUCGGAAUCGCUAUAGUAAUCGCGGAUCAGCAUGUCGCGGUGAAUACGUUCCCGGGCCUUGUACACACCGCCCGUCACACAUGAGUGGGGCUCUACCAGAAGUAGUUAGCCCAACCGUAAGGGAGGGCGAUUACCAUUGCAGGAUUCAUGACUGGGGUGAAGUCGUAACAAGGUAG
rnacentral:rRNA from 1 species